CCUCUCCUCUCCUUUUUUUCUGUUUAUGAAGCUAUGACUAAUCUCACAGACCACAGAAUGGUGUAUGGGGUUGCAACAGUAGGAUUGAAAAAGAUCUGAAAGACUUUUGUUUUUCCUAGAUAUAAAAUGCUAUCAGUAAAUAGAACUAUUUCGAACAGAAAACCAUUAUUUGAAGAUUGUUACUCAGUUCAUAGUAUUACAAGAAAUUAAGUUGGUUAGUAAUCUAUGGCUACGAAAAAUAGUGUAUUGUUAGAUGAGCAUCUUUUUCUGGAUCAGAAGACAUAGAUGCACCAAAAAAAAUGAAAGGCUCUUCAUAUUUCUAUUUUAACAUCUACAAAAACAAAGGCAGCCUUCUAGAACAAAGACCACUUUUUUCCAAGGGAGGAGGACCACAGCUCUGCCAUGGGGAAAGACAGCAACUUCUGUGCAGACAGCAGCCUUGAGUAAAACAUCCAUCUGAGCAACACUACAGGCAAAAAAAAAGAUCCUGAAGACUUCAUGAUGAUGUUGACUUAUUUCUUCUCUAACUGUCCAAUUAGUCAUGAUGCUACACAGGGAGAUAUUAGUGCCAUAUGGAAUGCAAGAUGCUGAAGACACCAAGCUUUUCCUCUCUCUCAUGAAGAACAGGUCUACCUUGCAAGCUAGUAAAAAUGUUCUGGGGGAGCGGGAUAUGGAGGAUGAGGGAGAGGAUGAGCAGCAGAAUUCCUGUGUCCCCACCCUGGAGUCUUUGGGUGUCAUCUGCUCCUGCGGGCAGGAAGAGAGACUUGAGCCAGGUCACCCUCCAUGGAGUCACCUGUGGGGAGGUCAGCACACAAACCAGAUCUGCCUGAUGGGCAAACAGCUGAUCCUCCUUGCCCUGCAGGGACUGUCCGGCACCUGCUGAAGGCUUCUUAAUUUGAUACUGAGCAUUCCACCCCUCACUCCCCAGCCCAUCCAUCCCCUGACUGGCAGCUCUGGCUCUUGCCCGACAAAGAAACUUUGCCAGAUAAAGAUUUUUUCCCCUUCCUUUGAGGAUUUCUGAGACUUCAAAAAAUGCUUCCUUCUCCUAAUAGAAACAACAACUUUUAUAAAUCUAGGGAUGUUUUUUUCUGUGGUUUUUUUUUUUGGUGGUUUUAUUUUCUUUUUUUUUUCCCUUGAGGACAAAAUCUGAAGAGCAUAAAACUUUUGCUUUAAAAAUGACAAAAUAUAACAGAAAGUUAAACCAUUCUUGUUGCUGCUGUUUUUUCUCCAAAUGAAAUAUAAAUUGAGACAGAACAUUUCACACAUAGGGAUUAGGUUUUAACACACAGUUUCUUUGUCUGCAGUUAGUAGAAAACAGCACCUUGAGUAAAGCAUUCAUCCCAUUUUUAUACACUUUUGGCAAUCUGCUCUUUGAAACUUCU
rnacentral:lncRNA from 1 species